rnacentral:rRNA from 1 species
AUUGAACGCUGGCGGCAGGCCUAACACAUGCAAGUCGAACGAGUGGCGGACGGGUGAGUAAUGUCUGGGAAACUGACUGUUGGAGGGGGAUAACUACUGGAAACGGUAGCUAAUACCGCAUACCAUUAGAUGUGCCCAGGUGGGAUUAGGUAGUUGGUGGGGUAAUGGCCUACCAAGCCGACGAUCCCUAGCCGGUCUGAGAGGAUGACCAGUCACACCGGGACUGAGACACGGCCCGGACGCCUACGGGAGGCAGCAGUGGGGAAUAUUGCGCAAGUGGGGAAACCCUGACGCAGCCAUGCCGCGUGAAUGAAGAAGGCCUUCGGGUUGUAAAGUUCUUUCGGUGACGAGGCGUUAAUCACAGAAGAAGCACCGGCUAACUCCGUGCCAGCAGCCGCGGUAAUUC